UAUGUGAUCGUCUCUCGCAUAUCAAUAAGCGGAGGAAAAGAAACUAACAAGGAUUCCCCUAGUAACGGCGAGUGAAGCGGGAAGAGCUCAAAUUUGAAAUCUUAAAGGGUUUCCCUUUACGAAUUGUAGUUUAAAGAAGUGUUUUCUGUUGAGGUUUUGGUAAAAGUUCUUUGGAAUAGGACAUCAUAGAGGGUGAGAAUCCCGUAUUUGACCUUUACUUUCAACUUUGUGAUACACUUUCAAAGAGUCGGAUUGUUUGGGAAUGCAGUCCAAAAUGGGUGGUAAAUUUCAUCUAAAGCUAAAUAUUGGCGAGAGACCGAUAGCGAACAAGUACCGUGAGGGAAAGAUGAAAAGAACUUUGAAAAGAGAGUUAAACAGUACGUGAAAUUGUCAAAAGGGAAGCGUUUGACACCAGUGUUGUUUUUCUGAAAAUCAAUUAAAGAACUGUUUAUGCUAAGUUGUUUAGACUUUAUCAGCUAUCUGUUUAGUUUUGAGCUUUUCUUUAAUGCACUUUUCAGUUAACAAGUCAACAUCAAUUUCUUUUGCUGUAAAAAAGCUUGAGGAAGGUGGCUUGAGAUUCGUCUUAAGUGUUUAUAGCCUCUUGCCUAUGCAGUCGGAGAGAUUGAGGUCUGCAGCGUAGAUCCUUCGGGGCUAAAUGCAUUUGUGCUAAGUUAUAGCAUUUUAUAGACAACUUGUUGACUAUGAUUUGUCUUGUAGCUUACUCGCUUAUGUUAUUUUACCUACGCUUAGGAUGUUGACACACGCGCGUGCUC
rnacentral:rRNA from 1 species